ACUCAAGUAGCUUUAAAAUAAAGAGCGUUACAUUGAAGCUGUGAAGGUGGUUAAAUAAAUCCUUGAGUA
rnacentral:tRNA from 1 species